ACGAGUGUAUAUUUAAGUUGUUGCAGUUAAAAAGCUCGUAGUUGAACUUCUGUUCGUUCAGUAGAUGGUCAAACAUCGACUGGAUGAGCAUCCGCCUGAAAAAUCAUUCGGGUCUUCACUGAUUCAGUGAUGGAUCAGGCAUUUUACUUUGAAAAAAUUAGAGUGUUCAAAGCAGGCUAUCGCCUGAAUACAUUAGCAUGGAAUAAUAGAAUAGGACGCUGUUCAAUUUGUUGGUUAUUGAAUUGCGUAAUGAUUAAUAGGGACAGUUGGGGGCAUUUGUAUUUAAUUGUCAGAGGUGAAAUUCUUGGAUUUAUUAAAGACAAACUUAUGCGAAAGCAUUUGCCAAGGAUGUUUUCAUUAA
rnacentral:rRNA from 1 species